rnacentral:rRNA from 1 species
GGCCACUGCUAUUGGGAUCCGACUAAGCCAUGCGAGUCGAGAGGGUUCGGCCCUCGGCAGACUGCUCAGUAACACGUGGAUAACCUAACCUUAGGUGGAAGAUAACCUCGGGAAACUGAGAAUAAUAUUCCAUAGAUCUAGGAUGCUGGAAUGCAUCUAGAUUGAAAGUUCCGACGCCUAAGGAUGGGUCUGCGGACUAUCAGGUUGUAGUCAGGGUAAAGACCUGACUAGCCUACGACGGAUAUGGGUUGUGAGAGCAAUAGCCCAGAGACGAUAUCUGAGACACGAUAUCGGGCCCUACGGGGCGCAGCAGGCGCGAAAUCUUCACAAUGUGCGAAAGCACGAUGAGGGGAUCCCAAGUGCUGGCACGUAAGUGUCAGCUGUUUCUUAGUCUAAAAAACUGAGAGAGUAAGGGCUGGGUAAGACGGGUGCCAGCCGCCGCGGUAAUACCUGCAGCUCAAGUGGUGGCCGCUAUUAUUGGGCCUAAAACGUCCGUAGCCUGUUUAGUAAAUGCUUGGGUAAAUUGUGUAGCUUAACUAUACGAAUACCGGGUAGACUGCUAAACUUGGGACCGGGAGAGGCUAGAGGUACUCCUGGGGUAGAGGUGAAAUUCUGUAAUCCUAGGGGGACCACCAGUGGCGAAGGCGUCUAGCUAGAACGGGUCUGACGGUGAGGGACGAAGCCCUGGGGCGCAAACCGGAUUAGAUACCCGGGUAGUCCAGGGUGUAAACGCUGCUUGCUUGAUGUUAGUUGGGCUCCGAGCCCAACUAGUGUCGGAGAGAAGUUGUUAAGCAAGCUGCCUGGGAAGUACGGUCGCAAGACUGAAACUUAAAGGAAUUGGCGGGGGAGCACAGCAACGGGUGGAGCGUGCGGUUU